rnacentral:rRNA from 1 species
AGCGAACGCUGGCGGCAGGCCUAAACAUGCAAGUCGAACGCCGUAGCAAUACGGAGUGGCAGACGGGUGAGUAACACGUGGGAACGUGCCCUUUGGUUCGGAACAACACAGGGAAACUUGUGCUAAUACCGGAUAAGCCCUUACGGGGAAGAUUUAUCGCCAAAGGAUCGGCCCGCGUCUGAUUAGCUAGUUGGUGAGGUAACGGCUCACCAAGGCUACGAUCAGUAGCUGGUCUGAGAGGAUGAUCAGCCACACUGGGACUGAGACACGGCCCAGACUCCUACGGGAGGCAGCAGUUAGGAAUCUUGGACAAUGGGCGCAAGCCUGAUCCAGCCAUGCCGCGUGAGUGAUGAAGGCCUUAGGGUUGUAAACUCCUUUCGAUCGAGACGAAUGGUCU